GAACGCGAAGAACCUUACCUACCCUUGGCAUCCUCGGAACUAUUUAGAGAUAGAUGGGUGCCUUCGGGAACCGAGAGACAGGUGCUGCAUGGCUGUCGUCGGCUCGUGUCGUGAGAUGUUGGGUUAAGUCCCGUAACGAGCGCAACCCCUAUUCUUAGUUGCCAUCAGGUAAAGCUGGGAACUCUAAGGAGACUGCCGGUGACAAGCCGGAGGAAGGUGGGGAUGACGUCAAGUCCUCAUGGCCCUUACGGGCAGGGCUACACACGUGUUACAAUGGACAGUACAAAGGGGAGCGAAACUGCAAAGUGGAGCAAAUCUUAUUAAAGCUGUUCGUAGUCCGGAUUGGAGUCUGCAACUCGACUCCAUGAAGUUGGAAUCGCUAGUAAUCGUAGAUCAGAACGCUACGGUGAAUACGUUCCCGGGUCUUGUACACACC
rnacentral:rRNA from 1 species